GAGUAACGCGUAGAAUCUGCCUUCAGGAGGGGGAUAACGACUAGAAAUGGUCGCUAAUACCCCAUAUGCCUAUGGGUGAAAUGAGUUUUGCCUGAAGAUGAGCUCGCGUCAGAUUAGCUAGUUGGUGAGGUAACGGCUCACCAAGGCGACGAUCUGUAGCUGGUCUGAGAGGAUGAUCAGCCACACUGGGACUGAGACACGGCCCAGACUCCUACGGGAGGCAGCAGUGGGGAAUUUUCCGCAAUGGGCGAAAGCCUGACGGAGCAAGACCGCGUGAGGGAUGACGGCCUAAUGGUUGUAAACCUCUUUUAUUCGGGAAGAUAAUGACGGUACCGAAUGAAUCAGCCUCGGCUAACUCCGUGCCAGCAGCCGCGGUAAUACGGAGGAGGCAAGCGUUAUCCGGAAUUAUUGGGCGUAAAGCGUCCGUAGGUGGUUAUACAAGUCAGCUGUUAAAGAGUGGUGCUUAACACCAUAAAGGCGGUUGAAACUGUAGGACUAGAGUUUGGUAGGGGUUGCGGGAAUUCCCAGUGUAGCGGUGAAAUGCGUAGAUAUUGGGAAGAACACCGGUGGCGAAAGCGCGCGACUGGACCUGAACUGACACUGAGGGACGAAAGCUAGGGGAGCGAAAGGGAUUANAUA
rnacentral:rRNA from 1 species